rnacentral:tRNA from 2 species
GCGGUUGUAGCUCAGCUGGUUAGAGCGUCGGAUUGUGGCUCCGAAGGUCGGCGGUUCGAACCCGCCCAACCGUA